GGGUCAGUAGGUUGGUCGUGCCACCGGUACGUACUGGUCCCACUGAUUCCUCCUUCCUGAAGAACAGUAAUGCCAUUAAUUUGGUGUUGCGGGGAAACAGGACUGUUACUUUGAAAAAAUUGGAGUGUUUAAAGCAAGCUAACGCUUGAAUACAUUAGCAUGGAAUAAUGAAAUAGGACGAUCGAUCCUAUUUUGUUGGUUUCUAGGAUUGACGUA
rnacentral:rRNA from 1 species